rnacentral:rRNA from 1 species
UUUUAAGAGUUUGAUCCUGGCUCAGGAUGAACGUUGGCGGCGUGCCUGAGAUAUGCAAGUCGAGCGGUUCGACGUUACGUCGGACAGCGGCGGACGGCUGAGUAACACGUAGGAACCUACCCGGUUGUGGACCAUAGCUCGCCGAAAGGCGGGGUAAUAGUCCAUGGUUCCCGACUUAAUAGUCGGGAUAAAGGGCGUAACUGCUCGCAACCGGAUGGGCCUGCGGUCUAUCAGGUAGUUGGUAGGGUAACGGCCUACCAAGCCUAUGACGGAUAGCUGGCCUGAGAGGGUGGUCAGCCAGAGGGGGACUGAGACACGGCCCCCACUCCUACGGGAGGCAGCAAUCAGGAAUAGUCGGCAAUGGGCGAAAGCCUGACCGCGCGACGCCGCGUGCGGGAAGAAGCUCGAAAGAGUGUAAACCGCUGUGGUAGGAGAGGAAGUCCCGACUUAGUCGAGGAUUGACAGUACCCUACUAGAAAGGGGCCGCUAACUGCGUGCCAGAAGCGUCGGUAAUACGUGGGCCCCAAACGUUAUCCGGUUUUACUGGGCAUAAAGGGUCGUGUAGGUGUCUUUUCAAGUUUUGUCUCAAAGCCUGUGGCUUAACCACAGAAAGGGACAAAAGACUGAAAAGAUAGAGUUAUCUUUAGGGGAAUCGGAACUCAAGGAGGAGCAGUGAAAUGCGUUGAUACCUUGGGGAACACCAGUGGCGAAGGCGGAUUCCUGGAAGAUAACUGACACUGAGACACGAAAGCUAGGGGAGCGAAGCAGAUUAGAGACCUGCGUAGUCCUAGCCGUAAACGAAUGUCUGCUAGCCGCAUUUAUCCCGACUUUACGUCGGGAUGGGUGUAGCGAAGGAAAUCCGUUAAGCAGACCGCCUGGGGAGUACGACCGCAAGGUUAAAACUCAAAGGAAUUGGCGGGGAGGCACACAACCAGUGGAACAUGUGGUUCAAUUCGAUACAAACCGAAAAACCUCACCAGGGCUUGACAUGCUAUCGUUUUAGUUCCUUAGAAAUAAGGAACGAUCCGCAAGGAUGAUAGCACAGGUGCUGCAUGGCUGUCGUCAGCUCGUUCCGUGAGGAGUACCCUUAAGUGGGACAACGAGCGCAACCCCUAUCUGCUGUUAAAUCUGUCAGCAGAGACGGUCCUGACAUUGUCAGGAAGGAAGGAAGGGCAGACGUCAAGUCAGCAUGGUCCUUAUGCCCUGGGCUACACACAUGUUACAAUGGGAUGAGCAGCGAGCUUUGCCAGACGGUAACGUCGAGCAAAUCUCUUAAACCAUCCCUCAGUGGGGAUUGAGGUCUGCAACUCGACCUCAUGAACGCGGAAUUGGUAGUAAUCGCGGAUCAGUCAUGCCGCGGUGAAUACGUUCUUGCCUCUUGCACACACCGCCCGUCAAGCCAACAAAGUCGAUGGUAUUCGAAUCCCGACUUAGUCGGGAGAGAAUAUCGUCGGCGAUGGGGGUUAAGUCGUAACAAGGUAACCGUUCUGGAAGGAGCGGUUGGAUCACCUCCUUU